rnacentral:lncRNA from 1 species
AAAAAAAAAAAAAAAAAAGUUACAUAUACAUAUUAAAUACGUUGCAUGUGUACAACCCUAAUACGUAACUAAUGCACCAUUUUUAUUUCUAAUUCAGAUAUUAUGUAGGUCUACUAACAGCACUAGCACUUUUCCAUUGUUUAGUGUUUGUUUUCUGUCUUGUUUUUUUCAUUUUAUUUUUGAAAAAUGAUAGCACAAAGAAUCAAUGGAAAUCUGUACUAAUAAAAAAAAAAUUUAAAAUUGUUUAUUCAUAUUAGAAAAAGGAUUGUAUACUCAAAUUUUAAUUGUUACACGUUAAUUUUUUUUUUUUUUUUUUUGUUUUUUACAUUUUUAUAAUUUAUACCAAUUUAUACCAAUUUUAGCCUAUUUAAUCAUUUGUUUUGAUCACUCAUUUGCUUACUUAUAUAUUUUCUUUUACCUUUUUAUUUAGUUCUACAACACAUCAAGCGAUGUCCCUUUUUACGUUUUAGUGAGUGCACUCACUGUGUUGAACGGAGUUUUUUUUUGUUUUAGUUGUACAACUUCUAGGAUUGCACAUUUUUCUGAUUUUAAAAAAAAUGACCACAUAUGAGUAUAUCGUUAACAGAUCGAACUCUAAGGAUAAAGAAAAUAAAAACACAAGGACGUGUUUAGAAUGGAUAGUCAUAGAUAAAAAGCGCUUGAAAAGCAAUAAUGAUAUUGAAAAUAUAGAAAAUCCAUAACAUUGAAUUAUCAAAAACUGAAAAAAAAUAAUAAAAUGUUAUUAAAACAAAUAAAAAGGAAAAAA